ACGUACACUCCUACGGGAGGCAGCAGUGGGGAAUUUUGGACAAUGGGCGAAAGCCUGAUCCAGCCAUGCCGCGUGCAGGAUGAAGGCCUUCGGGUUGUAAACUGCUUUUGUAUGGAACGAAACGGCCUUUUCUAAUAAAGAGGGCUAAUGACGGUACCGUAAGAAUAAGCACCGGCUAACUACGUGCCAGCAGCCGCGGUAAUACGUAGGGUGCAAGCGUUAAUCGGAAUUACUGGGCGUAAAGCGUGCGCAGGCGGUUAUGUAAGACAGUUGUGAAAUCCCCGGGCUCAACCUGGGAACUGCAUCUGUGACUGCAUAGCUAGAGUACGGUAGAGGGGGAUGGAAUUCCGCGUGUAGCAGUGAAAUGCGUAGAUAUGCGGAGGAACACCGAUGGCGAAGGCAAUCCCCUGGACCUGUACUGACGCUCAUGCACGAAAGCGUGGGGAGCAAACAGGAUUAGAAACCCUUGUAGUCCCAUGA
rnacentral:rRNA from 1 species